UACGUAGGGGGCGAGCGUUGUCCGGAUUUAUUGGGCGUAAAGGGUCCGUAGGCGGUCGGUUAAGUCGGAUGUGAAAUCUCGUGGCCUAACCACGAGCGGUCAUUCGAAACUAAUCGGCUAGAGGGCUGGAGAGGAGACUGGAAUUGUCGGUGUAGCGGUGAAAUGCGUAGAGAUCGACAAGAACACCGGUGGCGAAGGCGGGUCUCUGGACAGUUCCUGACGCUGAGGGACGAAAGCUAGGGGAGCAAACGGG
rnacentral:rRNA from 1 species